ensembl:misc_RNA
AUGACAGCAGUGAGGACUUAAGUCUUCUAUCCACAGAAAAGUACAGCAUGGGCAAGCUUCCCCACAUCGUCCCACCAAGGUGCCUCAACUCUGACCUGGAGGGACCACCUCUAGGGGUGAGAGUAGUUCAGCUUCCAUGCCCAAUCCAGUCCUCAAUGCU